GAUGAACGCUGGCGGCGUGCUUAACACAUGCAAGUCGAACGGUGAACACGGAGCUUGCUCUGUGGGAUCAGUGGCGAACGGGUGAGUAACACGUGAGCAACCUGCCCCUGACUCUGGGAUAAGCGCUGGAAACGGCGUCUAAUACUGGAUACGAGUAGCGGCCGCAUGGUCAGUUACUGGAAAGAUUUUUUGGUUGGGGAUGGGCUCGCGGCCUAUCAGCUUGUUGGUGAGGUAAUGGCUCACCAAGGCGUCGACGGGUAGCCGGCCUGAGAGGGUGACCGGCCACACUGGGACUGAGACACGGCCCAGACUCCUACGGGAGGCAGCAGUGGGGAAUAUUGCACAAUGGGCGAAAGCCUGAUGCAGCAACGCCGCGUGAGGGAUGACGGCCUUCGGGUUGUAAACCUCUUUUAGCAGGGAAGAAGCGAAAGUGACGGUACCUGCAGAAAAAGCGCCGGCUAACUACGUGCCAGCCGCCGCGGUAA
rnacentral:rRNA from 1 species